CCUACGGGAGGCUGCAGUGAGGAAUAUUGGUCAAUGGACGAGAGUCUGAACCAGCCAAGUAGCGUGAAGGAUGACUGCCCUAUGGGUUGUAAACUUCUUUUAUAUGGGAAUAAAAUGUUCCACGUGUGGGAUUUUGUAUGUACCAUAUGAAUAAGGAUCGGCUAACUCCGUGCCAGCAGCCGCGGUAAUACGGAGGAUCCGAGCGUUAUCCGGGUUUAUUGGGUUUAAAGGGAGCGUAGGUGGAUUGUUAAGUCAGUUGUGAAAGUUUGCGGCUCAACCGUAAAAUUGCAGUUGAAACUGGCAGUCUUGAGUACAGUAGAGGUGGGCGGAAUUCGUGGUGUAGCGGUGAAAUGCUUAGAUAUCACGAAGAACUCCGAUUGCGAAGGCAGUUCACUGGACUGCAACUGACACUGAGGCUCGAAAGUGUGGGUAUCAAACAGGAUUAGAUACCCGAGUAGUC
rnacentral:rRNA from 1 species